rnacentral:rRNA from 1 species
GUUGUAUAGUCAAGUAAUUAAGUGCAUGUGGUGGAUGCCUUGGCAGUCAGAGGCGAUGAAAGACGUGAUAGCCUGCGAAAAGCUCCGGGGAGGCGGCAAAUAUCCUUUGAUCCGGAGAUGUCUGAAUGGGGGAACCCACCUACUUUAAGGUAGGUAUUGCAACAUGAAUACAUAGUGUUGCAAGGCGAACGAGGGGAAGUGAAACAUCUCAGUACCCUUAGGAAAAGAAAUCAAUUGAGAUUCCCUCAGUAGCGGCGAGCGAACGGGGAUCAGCCCAUUAAGUUAUGUGUGUUUUAGUGGAACGCUCUGGGAAGUGCGAACGUAGAGGGUGAUAUUCCCGUACACGAAAGGGCACACAUAAUGAUGACGAGUAGGGCGAGGCACGUGAAACCUUGUCUGAAUAUGGGGGGACCAUCCUCCAAGGCUAAAUACUCCUGACUGACCGAUAGUGAACCAGUACCGUGAGGGAAAGGCGAAAAGAACCCCUGUGAGGGGAGUGAAAUAGAUCCUGAAACCGCAUGCAUACAAGCAGUGGGAGCACCUUCGUGGUGUGACUGCGUACCUUUUGUAUAAUGGGUCAGCGACUUAUAUUCAGUAGCAAGGUUAACCGUAUAGGGGAGCCGUAGAGAAAUCGAGUCUUAAUAGGGCGUUUAGUUGCUGGGUAUAGACCCGAAACCAGGCGAUCUAUCCAUGAGCAGGUUGAAGGUUGGGUAACACUAACUGGAGGACCGAACCCACUGUCGUUGAAAAGCCAGGGGAUGACUUGUGGAUAGGGGUGAAAGGCUAAUCAAGCCUGGUGAUAGCUGGUUCUCCCCGAAAGCUAUUUAGGUAGCGCCUCGGACGAAUACCAUAGGGGGUAGAGCACUGUUUCGGCUAGGGGGUCAUCCCGACUUACCAAACCGAUGCAAACUCCGAAUACCUAUGAGUACUAUCCGGGAGACAGACUGCGGGUGCUAACGUCCGUAGUCAAGAGGAAAACAAUCCAGACCGCCAGCUAAGGCCCCAAAAUCAUAGUUAAGUGGGAAACGAUGUGGGAAGGCAUAGACAGCUAGGAGGUUGGCUUAGAAGCAGCCACCCUUUAAAGAAAGCGUAAUAGCUCACUAGUCGAGUCGGCCUGCGCGGAAGAUGUAACGGGGCUAAAACUAUGUGCCGAAGCUGCGGAUGUAUACUUUGUAUACGUGGUAGGGGAGCGUUCUGUAAGCCGAUGAAGGUGUGUUGAGAAGCAUGCUGGAGGUAUCAGAAGUGCGAAUGCUGACGUGAGUAACGACAAAACGGGUGAAAAACCCGUUCGCCGAAAGACCAAGGGUUCCAGUCCAACGUUAAUCGGGGCUGGGUGAGUCGACCCCUAAGGCGAGGCCGAAAGGCGUAGUCGAUGGGAAAAUGGUUAAUAUUCCAUUACUUCUGUGUAAUGCGAUGAGAGGACGGAGAAGGCUAAAUCAGCCUGGCGUUGGUUGUCCAGGUGAAAGGAUGUAGGCAUGUAUCUUAGGCAAAUCCGGGGUACUCUAUGCUGAGAUCUGAUAGCAAGCUGUACUUGUACAGCGAAGUGGUUGAUGCCAUGCUUCCAGGAAAAGUCUCUAAGCUUCAGUUACACAGGAAUCGUACCCGAAACCGACACAGGUGGUCAGGUCGAGUAGACCAAGGCGCUUGAGAGAACUCUGCUGAAGGAACUAGGCAAAAUGGUACCGUAACUUCGGGAGAAGGUACGCUGUUGUUGGUGAUGGAACUUGCUUCCUGAGCUGACGACAGCCGCAGAAACCAGGCCGCUGCAACUGUUUAUUAAAAACAUAGCACUCUGCAAACACGAAAGUGGACGUAUAGGGUGUGAUGCCUGCCCGGUGCUGGAAGGUUAAUUGAUGGGGUUAGCGUAAGCGAAGCUCUUGAUCGAAGCCCCAGUAAACGGCGGCCGUAACUAUAACGGUCCUAAGGUAGCGAAAUUCCUUGUCGGGUAAGUUCCGACCUGCACGAAUGGCAUAAUGAUGGCGGCGCUGUCUCCAGCAGAGGCUCAGUGAAAUCGAAAUCGCUGUGAAGAUGCAGUGUACCCGCGGCUAGACGGAAAGACCCCGUGAACCUUUACUGCAGCUUGACACUGAACUUUGACCUUACUUGUGUAGGAUAGGUGGGAGGCUUUGAAGCUGGAACGCUAGUUCCAGUGGAGCCGUCCUUGAAAUACCACCCUGGUAAUGUUGAGGUUCUAACUCUGUCCCGUGAUCCGGGACGAGGACCGUGUCUGGUGGGUAGUUUGACUGGGGCGGUCUCCUCCUAAAGAGUAACGGAGGAGUACGAAGGUGCGCUCAGCGUGGUCGGAAAUCACGCGUAGAGUAUAAAGGCAAAAGCGCGCUUAACUGCGAGACCCACAAGUCGAGCAGGUACGAAAGUAGGUCUUAGUGAUCCGGUGGUUCUGUAUGGAAGGGCCAUCGCUCAACGGAUAAAAGGUACUCUGGGGAUAACAGGCUGAUACCGCCCAAGAGUUCAUAUCGACGGCGGUGUUUGGCACCUCGAUGUCGGCUCAUCUCAUCCUGGGGCUGAAGCAGGUCCCAAGGGUAUGGCUGUUCGCCAUUUAAAGAGGUACGCGAGCUGGGUUUAGAACGUCGUGAGACAGUUCGGUCCCUAUCUACCGUGGGCGCUGGAAAUUUGAGAGGAUCUGCUCCUAGUACGAGAGGACCAGAGUGGACGAACCUCUGGUGUACCGGUUGUGACGCCAGUCGCAUCGCCGGGUAGCUAUGUUCGGAAGGGAUAACCGCUGAAAGCAUCUAAGCGGGAAGCCUACCUCAAGAUAAGAUUUCCCUAGGACUUUAUGUCCUCUAAAGAGCCGUUCGAGACUAGGACGUUGAUAGGUUGGAUGUGGAAGCAUAGUGAUAUGUGAAGCUGACCAAUACUAAUUGCUCGUGAGGCUUGACUAUACAACACCCAAGCAGUUG